GGGGUCUUCCACUUCGUUGUCUAUGUUUUUACAUUCGAGUUCGACCAGAUACGAUUUACGAAUCUGUUUCAUGAUCUAUCUAUCGCAUUCGUUAUACAUUUAUUUUCAUCGUUAAUACGAUCAGCCAACUCCUCAACUGCAGCUAUUUCUGCAGAACUAAAUUUAUGAAGGAUACAGAAGAGUGUGUGCAUAAGGUAUGAAAGAUAUCCAUGUCACGAAAUACACAAACAGAUGGACGUGGUCCCAAGCAUAGUAACCACGGGCACAGCUAUGAGAGAAUGAGUUUGUAUGUAUUUAUUUCUACUUUCAAAGGAUUUUUCAACUCAGGUAUAUGAGACACUGAAUCAGAGUAAUGAACUACUACUGUCUCUUUCUAUCGUGUCAUUUCUCACUGACAAAGUUUCAUCUUGCUUUAGCCAAACAUCGCACCAAAUGGCAAGCCUCUUUUACUUGAGUUCCUCAUGAAUUGAAGUCCACAAGGAAUGCCUCCGCAACAGCAAGAUCAACGAAACCAUCAUCAAACUCAACUGCUAAUCUUCACCUACUUUGUGUUGUCAACACUCAACUACUAGUUUCUUACAGAUCCAGUAUUUGAUGUUUCUACACGUAGCCAACCAUCAACAACCAUGAAUCUAGUCUUCACAGCUUCCCUUCUUUGCCAGCAAUCAUCAAUUAACUUCAGCAUCAUAGCAUGAAAUCAUCAUUUUCAUGUGCCAUCUCAAUCAUUUGCAGCCUUUACUGCUCUUCUUAGGCUGACAACAUGCAUACUGUUGUGCAAGCCUUUUAUUAUACUUUUCAUGCCAUCGCCUCAUUAUGAACUGUCAAGUUUUAUUUGCAUUUACGUUAAAAAAACGCCGUUCAGUAGUUAUCAUGCCUCCGUAUGGGAUUAAAAACAUAAUGCCCACAGCCGAGUGAAAGAGGGCAUCUCGUAAUCUUUGCGGAUCCAAAACAGCUGAUGGCGAUGGCAGUCGGUGCAACGUGGAACUUCUCGUCUGUUUUGGUAUUGUUUUGGGUGUGUUGUUUGUGUGAGUUAACCCGUUGGCUGCCACCCAUUUUGCUCCCAUUUUUUUUUUAGCUGUAGGGACCGCGCGCACUGCUCUGCCCUAUGGGGUAGGGCAGUGCUCCGCCGCAAGGCGGUUAGGCAAUGCACCAGUAGGGACUUCUCCUUGUUCGAUGCGGUGAUGGUUUCCUGAGGGUGUGCAUUCCCUGUAAAGGUUUCCAUCGCCGUGUCACCCCGGACUUGUCUU